UCAUGGGUGGCUUUUUCUCAAGUAUUUUUUCCAGUCUCUUUGGAAUCAGGGAAAUGAGGAUUUUAAUUUUGGGGUUAGAUGGUACUGGAAAAACAACAAUUUUGUACAGAUUACAGGUUGGAGAAGUUGUUGGUACUAUUCCCACCAUUGGAUUUUGAUUUAAUGUAGAGAUGUUGACAUACAAAAAUCUCAAAUUCCAAGUUUGGACUUAAGAGGACAAACAAGUAUCAGACCAUACUGGAGAUGUUAUUAUUCAAACACAGAUGCAGUCAUCUAUGUCAUGGACAGUUGUGACCGAGACUGAAUUGGCAUUUCUAAGUCAGAGUUAGUUGCUAUGUUGGAGGAAGAAGAACUGAGAAAAGCCAUUUUAGUAGUGUUUUCAAAAAAGCAGGACAUGAAGCAGGCCAUGACGCCCUCAGAAAUGGCAAAUUCUCUUGGGUUACCUGCCCUGAAGGACUGGAAGUGGCAGAUCUUUAAAACAUCAGCAACCAAAGGCACUGGCCUUGAUGAGGCAAUGGAAUUGUUAGUCGAAACACUUAAAACCAGGCAGUGA